AUGUGUGUCCCGAAGAAGAAGGGAGGAAUGGGGUUUCGAGGCCUUCACAACUUCAACCUUGCUAUGUUAGCGAAGCAGUGUUGGCGUCUUCUCCAGAACCCUGACUCCUUGUGUGCACGUGUUCUCGGUGCAAAAUAUUACCCUAAUGGUGAUAUUCUAAAAGCUGGCCCUAAGAAAGGUUCUUCGUUUACGUGGCAAAGUAUAGUUGCCGGCAUACAAACUUUUAAGAGAGGGUGUAUUUGGCGAGUGGGCAGUUCUCAGACAGAUAUUUGGGAGGAUCCAUGGAUUCCAUCUAGUGAAACAAGGAAACCGAUAACCCCGAGAGGUGGAAUUAUGUUAUCAAAAGUGCAGGAUAUAAUUGAUCCCCGCACAGGACAAUGGGAUGAGCCCCUCAUCCAAAGCGUGUUCUCACCAGUUGAUGUGUACAGAAUACUCCAAAUCCCACUCCAUGUUGAAGCUAUGGAAGAUUUUGUGGAUUGGCACCACACAAGAUCUGGAACCUUCUCGGUUCGUUCGACACAUCAUGUGGAGCUUGAUCACCAAUUCGGACGUCAUUACACAAAUCUGUAUAGUUCAGGCGGUGCCCAACUGAAUCCGGUUUGGAAGGAGUUAUGGAAGCUCCGUCUACCAGGAAAGAUUUAG
rnacentral:rRNA from 1 species